AGAAUACUGGAUUCCUUCCAUUAACUGACAAGCAGAUCCAGCCCGCAAAGCAGCAGCAAACUAUCAUAGCGUCCUUCUGCCAGAGAAUUCACCAGGUCAUCACACACCAGAGACUAGUUGUAGGAACUAUCAUUGUCAUCUGUGCUGACAAGCAGGGCGAUGUGGUGGUGUGUGCUUUGAAGAGCUCUGUGUCGAGCUGACAGUUCUAACUGAA
rnacentral:lncRNA from 1 species